GGGCCCGCACAAGCGGUGGAGCAUGUGGUUUAAUUCGAUGAUACGCGAGGAACCUUACCAGGGCUUAAAUGUAGUCUGACAGGGGUGGAAACACCCCCUCCUUCGGGCAGAUUACAAGGUGCUGCAUGGUUGUCGUCAGCUCGUGCCGUGAGGUGUCAGGUUAAGUCCUAUAACGAGCGCAACCCCUGCCGUUAGUUGCCAGCAUGUAAUGAUGGGAACUCUAACGGGACUGCCGGUGCAAACCGCGAGGAAGGUGGGGAUGACGUCAAAUCAUCACGGCCCUUACGUCCUGGGCUACACACGUGCUACAAUGGCCGGUACAGAGGGCAGCCACACCGCAAGGUGGAGCGAAUCUUCAAAGCCGGUCUCAGUUCGGAUCGCAGUCUGCAACUCGACUGCGUGAAGCUGGAAUCGCUAGUAAUCGGAUAU
rnacentral:rRNA from 1 species